rnacentral:rRNA from 1 species
AGAGUUUGAUCCUGGCUCAGGACGAACGCUGGCGGCGUGCUUAACACAUGCAAGUCGAACGAAAAGACGGAAAGAGCUUGCUCUUUUCAGAAUUGAGUGGCAAACGGGUGAGUAACACGUAAACAACCUGCCUUCAGGAUGGGGACAACAGACGGAAACGACUGCUAAUACCGAAUAAGUUCCAAGAGCCGCAUGGCCCAUGGAAGAAAAGGUGGCCUCUACCUGUAAGCUAUCGCCUGAAGAGGGGUUUGCGUCUGAUUAGCUGGUUGGAGGGGUAACGGCCCACCAAGGCGACGAUCAGUAGCCGGUCUGAGAGGAUGAACGGCCACACUGGAACUGAGACACGGUCCAGACUCCUACGGGAGGCAGCAGUGGGGAAUCUUCCGCAAUGGGCGAAAGCCUGACGGAGCAACGCCGCGUGAGUGAUGACGGCCUUCGGGUUGUAAAACUCUGUGAUCCGGGACGAAAAGGCAGAGUGCGAAGAACAAACUGCAUUGACGGUACCGGAAAAGCAAGCCACGGCUAACUACGUGCCAGCAGCCGCGGUAAUACGUAGGUGGCAAGCGUUGUCCGGAUUUAUUGGGCGUAAAGCGAGUGCAGGCGGUUCAAUAAGUCUGAUGUGAAAGCCUUCGGCUCAACCGGAGAAUUGCAUCAGAAACUGUUGAACUUGAGUGCAGAAGAGGAGAGUGGAACUCCAUGUGUAGCGGUGGAAUGCGUAGAUAUAUGGAAGAACACCAGUGGCGAAGGCGGCUCUCUGGUCUGCAACUGACGCUGAGGCUCGAAAGCAUGGGUAGCGAACAGGAUUAGAUACCCUGGUAGUCCAUGCCGUAAACGAUGAGUGCUAAGUGUUGGGAGGUUUCCGCCUCUCAGUGCUGCAGCUAACGCAUUAAGCACUCCGCCUGGGGAGUACGACCGCAAGGUUGAAACUCAAAGGAAUUGACGGGGGCCCGCAC